GCAUUUAUACUAGUAUAUUUUACCAGUUCUCUCUUUAAUAUGCCAUUGUUCUCAUAGAAUAUUUGUUUAGUUUACUCCUGAUAUUCUUCAACGUUAAAAAUGCGUUCACAUUGAAUUCUGUAGCAUCUCUUUUUAAUAGGUCACAUAGUCCUCAUAAUAAAGCAUGCUUCAAAAAAAAAAAACACGACUCCAUUCGUCAACUACUGAGAAUUAAUAAGAAUACAUGGCCAACAGGACAUAUCAAUCGUAUGUCAGUAAAUAAUUUAAAAUUUCAUUGUUAGUCCUGUAUGAGAAAGUAAAACAAUCCAUUUUCCACAUAACUUCAGCGAGGAAGAGUCGCUCAUCAAACAGACUGGGUUUCUCUUGUACUACAUGUAUGCGUAAUAGGAUACAAUAAUAUCUAUUAAAUAUAAUUCAUAUUCAUCGAAUGAUAUAUUGGUUUGAUAAAGAUGUCAAAACAAGUAUAAAUCAACCAUUACUUAUAUUUCCAGGAGAUGCCAAAUGUUGAAAUAGCCUUGCAGUACUUCACAAAUGAAAAAGGGACAGUUGAAUCUACAUAAAUCAAAUCUCUUGGGAACAAGGAAAUCUCUUCAACUGAAAUUAAAAUUUGACAGAAAAUAUGUGAAUAACCAGUUUUAUAUAUAUAUUUUAAAAAAUGCUUUGAUGUGUUGUAAGUUGACUUAUAAACUUUCUACAGCAGUUUGUGAGACAAAAACCAAAGCCACAGCAUUUUCCAAUUAUGUCUGAAAAGCAAGGUCUGUUAAUACUUCUCUACUGAAUCUUUCUUAUCAAAUGCAGAGGUUUAGGGGCAAAUGCACAUUAGAGAUUACUGUGAUUUCAGCUAGGUUGGAAGUAUUCUCCCAUUCUCAUAGAGACUUCUACCAUUAAUGAUAUAUCCCAUAGAAAGAAUCACAACACUGUUCGUGGAUUAACUUGCUUGAAUGAUAAAUAUCGAUUCUUAAAUUGAAAUAUCAAAUCCAAAUUAAAACUCGAAAAAUAUUGUGAAUAAACCAAAUGCAGCAGACCAAUGUACCUAUAUUUUAUCAAUAUCAUAAAACUAUCUCAAGUCGGAAAUCAGAUACUUAUCAACUAUAAAUGACAGUUGUGGUAAGGAUCACAAAAUGAGUUCAAACAGAAUUCAAUGAAAUUGCCACCUAAGUGUUUGUAUGUAUUAAUUAAACAAGAUAUGUGCUUCACGAUUCUGGUAAAAAAUCUUGAAUUGCUGGGAAAUUAGCAUAAUAACAGAGCUGCCAACAUGAAGAGUAAAAAAAAAAUUGUUAUCUAGACGCUCAAAAGUCAUAAUUUUGACAUACAAGUCAUACAAGCCAACCGGUGUGUUUGCUCAGUUGGUAGAGCGUCGGGGGUUCAAACCCCGGCCGCGUCAGACCAAAAGACGUUAAAAGAUGGGAGUUGCUGCUACCCUGUUUGGUGUUCAACAAUUAAAAGGGAUAGAGCUUCGUCGAUCUGGCCCUGCACAGCGGCUGCCGGGCCCACGAUCAAUUGGGGAAAAAAAAAAAUUCUGAGUAUUUCAUUUCUGGUGUCUAUUUCGAACAAUAAAAUAUGGAUCUUGAUAAUUUCAUUUCGCAGUAGUACAUAGUUAUCUAGAAGCUCAAAAGUCAUAAUUUUGACCUAAAAGUCAGAAUUCAUUUAGCAGUAGUAUGAAUUUCUUUUAAAUAGUUAUCGAGACGCUCAAAAGUCAUAAUUUUGACAUAUAAGUCAUAAUUUCAUUUCGUGGUAGUAUAAAUUUCUUUAGAAUAGUUAUCUCGAAGCUCAAAAGUCAUAAUUUUGACAUAAAACUCAGAAUUUCAUUUCGCUGUAGUAUAAAUUUCUUUGAAAUGGUAAUAUGAAGAACAGAUUCCUUAAAAAGAAAUGAAUUUUAAGGCGUAGAUUCAGAAUCAUAUCCGGUACUUUCUCUUUUGCAUAAAUCCAUGAAAAAUCCAAGAGCAUUAAAACCACAAGAUCGGGUCAGUAUUUAAGCAUGCGAUGAUAACAUUAAGAGCGAUGUAAACAAAGAUACACAUACACAAUCAUGGGAAUAAUGAGCAUCCUUGGCUGCCUACAGAUGGGCGACACUGCCUCAAUGCAUUACUAUAUAUAUAUAGUAUUAAAUGUUACAUAUUUGCCCAAAAGAGUAAUAAUUAUACCUUGGUCACAUUUGCUCUACGGUGGCCGUACACGAGUCGAAAACAGCCGUUUCAACAUUUUCUGUACCAGCUAUACAUAGGUGGUUUGAACGAAAAUGAAUAAAACGGCUGUUUUCAACUCGCCGUACGGCCGCAGUAGAGCGAAUGUGACCGAGGUAUAAAGGUCAAAAACAUAAUGGCAUAAUUUGACAUGAAAAUCAUAAUAUUUAUGACUUUUCUUAAUAGUUGGCAGCUCUGUAAUAAUCACGGUAUUCCAGGUAAUUGUUGGGUCUUUUCCAUGCUAUGAUUAUAAAGUGUCCAACUCUGUCCAACAUGUGCUUAUCUGUGGUGGCGACCAUCAUGAUAACAAACUUAGGUUAAUUCAAUACGGUAUAAUCAGUUGAUGACCUUUAGAAGUCUGUUUUCUAAUGAAAUCAUUGUUUGCUGCAACUUUCCACCCUUUCACACGGUAAAAUAAUCAAAAUUUGAACGAUGAUUAAAGUGAAAAAUAACGCUAAUGACAAUCACGAAUUCAAAGUCUACUCCGGAGGUGAAUUCCAGUUAAGUUUCACUCAAAUAGAUAAUACAAUUGUCAUGCACUCAUCAUAUUGUAUAUGCGAUGCAGUGCUUUGAAUUCAAAUUAAAAUCAGUUUUCGAGUGAGCGUGUGAAAGGUCCGAUGACUCUAAAGACCAACUGCAAUCAUCAUUACAAUGAUGAUUCAAGAUUCACGUGUGAAAAGGCCCUAUAUGAGAUAAGCCUUCUUUUUUCGUGGAAAGGGAUGGGGGGGCGGGGGGUGGCUUGCAUCUGCUAUAAAAAAAACCCAACAAAGAUCAUGAAGAAUGAGAGGAGAAUAUGUAGGCGCAAUGACAUCAACAACAAACCAAGAAUGUAAAGCCCUAUUGAUGAUAAAUAAAUACUAAAUGCCGCAGACGACUAUUCUUCACCAGAAUAGUUUGUCCUGGGAAAAUUACAGUUGCAUUGUCUACGA